UUAACAAUAAGAGCCUUAGACGUAAGACUUAUGCGCGUUGUUGUUAUUCUCUGUUGACUGUGUAUUUCUGUCUGAUCUUCUGCAGUUUAGGGAGUGCAGUUCUUCUCUCAGUAUCUUCACCAAAUCACCAGAUCAUCAUCAGAAAUGUGUAAACAAGAUAAAAUUCUGAAGGACUUCCUUCUUCCGGAUCUCAAAAAAGAGCGAUGAAGAUUGGGACAAGGUGAGGAAAUCAAAAGAAAUGAAGUAGAAGAUGAAGGAUCACCAGGAAAUGCUGGAGAGUAUGAAUGUCUCCUAUCUCAACAACCUGGACAGAAUCAUGGGGAGAGAGCGAGAAAUGCCAAUCCCUUUUCCUGAGGGGAAAGCCAUUAGUUCCUGUUUGAAACAUGCAGUAAGAUUAAAAUCAUCUGGGUUUGGAUCACAUGUGUGUAAUUUAUUUCUGGCAUCUCUGUAGAGUUUAGCUGAUGCCCUGAACCUGACUGUAAAAUCUCACUGAUGUCACACACAGUUCAAGUAAAUAAUAAAAUCUUUUUAAUCAGAGAA